rnacentral:rRNA from 1 species
AAAGUCGCUCUCAGAGUGGCUUUACUUUAAUCCCUUACACCUGUGCAUUUUGUCGCUCCGGCGAUAUUUAUAUAUACAAACAACAGUUUUAAAUCAUAAUGUAAAAGUAUCAUAACAAAAUACAACUUUCAACAACGGAUCUCUUGGCUCUCGCAUCGAUGAAGAACGCAGCGAAAUGCGAUAAGUAAUGUGAAUUGCAGAAUUCAGUGAAUCAUCGAAUCUUUGAACGCACAUUGCGCCUUUUGGUAUUCCGAAAGGCAUGCCUGUUUGAGUGUCAUAUAGACUUCUCGCACCUGGUUUUCUGAACCGGGCGGUGAGCUUUGGACGCUGCCAGCCUUCUGGCUCGUCUCAAAUGUCUAAGUGGAACGCGUAAUAAGUUUUCGCCCCCUCCACUCUAAUACUACUUUUAGUUUAGACCUCAAAUCAGGUAGGACUACCCGCUGAACUUAAGCAUAUCAAUAAGCGGAGGA